UCCUCAAACUCUUCAUCAGGUGCCUGAAUAAAUGGCAGUAUCAGCUUCUCACAUUACAAUUGAGUGGUGAUUGCUUUUUCACUUGUUGACACCCACAUUCAUUGAGAUGUUAAGGCACAUAUCUUAACCAUGAGUUUGCACUAAUAUAAAAGAGAUACGUACCAGGCGAACUCCAAAUGCCUUAG